rnacentral:rRNA from 1 species
UACGAAGGGGGCUAGCGUUGCUCGGAAUUACUGGGCGUAAAGCGCACGUAGGCGGCUUUCUAAGUCGGGGGUGAAAUCCUGGAGCUCAACUCCAGAACUGCCUUCGAUACGUGGAGAGCUUGAGUCCGGGAGAGGUGAGUGGAACUGCGAGUGUAGAGGUGAAAUUCGUAGAAUAUUCGCAAGAACACCAGUGGCGAAAGGGCGGCCUCCAGCUGGCCCGGACUGACGCCGUGAGGUGCGAAAGCGGUGGGGAGCGAAACAG